rnacentral:rRNA from 1 species
GACGAACGCUGGCGGCGUGCUAAACACAUGCAAGUCGAACGGUGAACCGGGCUUCGGCCCGGGGAUCAGUGGCGAACGGGUGCGUAACACGUGGGCAACCUGCCCCAGACACUGGGGUAACCCCGGGAAACCGGGGCUAAUACCGGAUACUCCGCUCGGACCGCAUGGUCCGAUCGGGAAAGCUCCGACGGUCUGGGAUGGGCCCGCGGCCUAUCAGCUCGUUGGUGGGGUAACGGCCUACCAAGGCGACGACGGGUAGCUGGUCUGAGAGGACGACCAGCCACACUGGAACUGAGAUACGGUCCAGACUCCUACGGGAGGCAGCAGUGGGGAAUCUUGCACAAUGGGCGAAAGCCUGAUGCAGCGACGCCGCGUGGGGGACGAAGGCCCUCGGGUUGUAAACCCCUUUCGGCAGGGAAGAAGCGCAAGUGACGGUACCUGCAGAAGAAGCUCCGGCUAACUACGUGCCAGCCGCCGCCGUAACAC